rnacentral:lncRNA from 1 species
CUCCGUUAGACCCUCCCCCCAGGCCCGGCUCCCUCUGCGCAUGGCAGGCCCAGAUCAGCAGCUCUGAUCCAGAUUUCAGAGCAGGGGAUUGUGGAAGACAUAGAGACUUAGCUCCAGCCAAGCUCCGCUAUCUUCCUAGCAGAAAACCUUCAAGGAGCCUCACAUUUUCCAUCUGAAGCUAGAGAGAAUAACUGCCCUGCCUCACUCCCAUGUCAGAGGAACUAUGACUUAUAGCAAUUUGUAAGCAGAAUUGAAGCAUUUACCUUUUUCUCCCUAUCUGAUCCCUCCAGAAUUUGAAAACUCUUGAUGAAUGAUCCAAAAGACCCAGAGAGAAUUCAAAUUAAAGAACCAGACAUGCUCAGAUGUUCCUCUGCAUCAUCUCUAUAGUGGAGACUGAAUCCUAUUAAAAUACCGGAAACACAAGCACCCGGAAGAUCAAUUUCAUCUCUGCUGAAUGGGACCAUACAAGCAAUGCCACAGGAAACAGGAAUCAUGCCAUAGAAGAACAUCGCAACAGGAUCACCCAAACCUUGGCUGGCUUCAUACUCUACACACUGACUUCUCCAAAUGGACGAGUGAACCUCUAAUAGAUCUCAAGUUGCUGUACAGAAGAUGGUCCCCUAAAAGUACGUAAUGAAUGACCCCCACAUUCUUACCUUACUUGUUGGACUAUUAGACAGCCGGCUAUUUGUCUACAUUGGAUUUCACCUGAGGUUCCAGGCCCUAACCUUGGUUGGUUUACAGGCUUCUUCUCCUCAGUUCCCCAAGGAUUAAUAUCCAUUAUGGAGGGGAUACUAAAAUUUGGGCUGUGAUUUUGCUAAUACGUGUGGUUGUCUAUGUAAUUAUAAAAUGUGGACUUAAGUGUUCUUCCAAAACCAUUGAUCAGAAUACUAAAAUAUUAGUCACGCAGGACAUACCUUGCUCUCCUCUGCCUGGUACCCAAGAAUAUUUUUUUAAUAAAGAUUUUAUUUUUUUCCUUUUUCUCCCCAAAGCCCCCCCAGUACAUAGUUGUAUAUUCUUAGUUGUGGGUCCUUCUAGUUUGGCAUGUGGGACGCUGUCUCAUGUGGUUUAUAUGAGCAAUGCCAUGUCCGCACACAGGAUUUGAACCAACGAAACACUGGGGUGCCUGCAGCAGAGCACGCGAACUUAACCACUUGGCCACGGGGCCAGCCCCCCAAGAAUAUUUUUAAAGUAAAGGUAGAACAAUUUCAUUCCUCUGACCUGGAACUUCACCCUUUCACAGCAGGAAGCAGCUGGAGCGGUCUUCAUCCCCAUUCCCCAAGAUUGACGAAUGAUCAAAAGAGAAGGGGGAUUGAAACUGAAGAUGAAGGAGUUAAAAUUUCCCUGGAUUAGGGUGAAACUGUGCCUUGUACCCACAAGGUUAACAUGGGAAACAAAAUAACCAAAGUUUCUGAGCUUGCCUUGCAGAACAGCAGGAGGACCACUGAUAAGAGAGGAACUUGCUGACAGCCCCCUGCCUGACUAAGCAUCUUGGAGGAACAUUGAGAAGCUAAAAUGACUGAUUGCAAACUUUAGAUAUCAAAGACUAAAGACUAAAAAGCCACCACUUGAAACAUGUAGAACAGACAGUCACACCUGUGCAGAGGACACUUAGAACUUCAGCCCAGAAGGCCACAUGCCCCCCUCCCCUACCUAAAACCCCAAACAAAAACUCUUGCUUGUAGCUUUUUGGAAGUUCAAAAUUACAGUGUUAGCUGCCCAUUCCCCUUGCUCAGUGUUUUGCAAUA